UGCAGCGCCGUGGCAACGCAGGCCCUAACGACAGGGAGGCAGUCGUUAUGCAGAUGAGGUCCAGCUGAGAGCGCGGGAGGCCGCCUGGCUCGUUAGACCGCGGCCUAGCAAAUGGCUCGCUAAUGUAACACCGCUUCCUGGUCUAAUGGAGUCCUGUUUUGCAGAAUUAUUUGUCUUUGCUCCCCGCAGGGAGCCUGGGGGCCACUGACAGCAAGAAGGAGAGAAAGUGGAGAGAAAGGGAGAAUGACCCAACACACUGUGACUUGACGACAGGCCGUCAUGGAGCGGAUCUGGAGAGAAAACAUACAACACAAAAAGCAUCACGCGGACUCAGGCGAUUACUGGCUCGUGGUCAGAUCCACCGGGCUGAUGGGCCUCUGAGUUCACCUUAAUGACGGAGGUGG